rnacentral:snoRNA from 1 species
UGCGAGCUUCCUUAGAUCCGCUUUCCGGAAGGUCAAACCAUCACCUGAAAACAUUCACACUUGUGGGUUUGUCUUCAGUUGAUGGUGGCCUUCCCUCUGCCUUACGCCGAGUUUAAUGGAAAGAGCAUGAGUCAAUGGCACGCUAGAGUAAUCCCUUCACCACUUU